UGUGCCUACGGGGCGCAGCAGUGGGGAAUAUUGCACAAUGGGGGAAACCCUGAUGCAGCGACGCCGCGUGAGUGAAGAAGUAUUUCGGUAUGUAAAGCUCUAUCAGCAGGGAAGAAGAAAGACGGUACCUGACUAAGAAGCCCCGGCUAACUACAUGCCAGCAGCCGCGGUAAUACGUAGGGGGCAAGCGUUAUCCGGAUUUACUGGGUGUAAAGGGAGCGCAGGCGGCAUGCCAAGUCUGGUGUGAAAACCCGGGGCCCAACCCCGGGCCUGCAUUGGAAACUGGCGGGCUGGAGUG
rnacentral:rRNA from 1 species